UGCGAAGUGCAUAAGUAAAUAGGUUUCAAACACAUUCAUUCCAAGGUUUUAAAGGAUUGGUUAAUUGUUUUCAUUUUUUAAUUCGUUAAACAGUAAAUAAUCCCUGACCAGAGCUUGACUGUGAUUCCCAAUGCAAUGAAGAUGUGUGAAAAUGACCUAAUAACUCACUGUGGUUUUAACGUGUUUUGGUACGGAAACAUGAAAGCAGUGAAGUUGGGGAAGUUUGAAAAGCACAGAAAAGUUUAUUUAUUUAAGAAAAAAAAAAAAAAAGGAAAAAAAAAAACCAUAGCUAUGUACAAUUCCAUACAGCUCCUGCAUGCAGUCCUGGGAGCCCGCACGGGGUGGAUCACAGCGCGCUCGGGUUUGGUCACACACGGGGGCCGGGGUCGCGUUCUCACGUCUUGUGUCCAGCUUGUGUAAAUACCUGUGUGUUUAUUCUCCACCUUUGGCUGCUGGUAGCCCACUCGCACUACACACAAAUGAACUCAAGUAUUUUUUUUAGCUGUUUGUGCUGAGUUUCUUUGAGGCCAAUGGUGGCUGCACCUCGGCAGAGUCUCGGUCAGUCUCCCCCCGUGUCCUGCCACCGAAAAUGAAGCACAUUCCAGUCACCACGAGAAGGGAAGUAAGUACCUGUCCUCUCGUUGAGGAAUUGUCACCACACCCAGUGUCUCUUAGUGGUUAUUUCCAAUAUAUAGUCAUCGGUGUGGCUGCUGAAUAUUCCUCACCCUGAGCAUGUAAAUACUUGUAUUUCUUACUCCAGUCCUGAGUGAAUCUAGUGACAAAGAGCCAGAGAGCUCUGCAGCCCCUACCGUUAAGACAGGAGCCAGCUGUUAUUUGCAGGUGUGCACGCUACUGCCAGCUUCACCCUGCCAAACCCUGUCAAGUUAGUGGUCCACACACCCUCCCACUGCACUCCUUCACUCGUGCAGCUGUGCAGCAACUUAAUGAUGCACGAUGGGGCAAGUUGAUGAAGAACCAUAAAUGUAAGUGUUUAACUUUUCUUUUUUUUAUUAUUUCCUCUCCCCUGGCCAGGUAAAUAUGUUUAAUUUUAGCCCCCAGUUUUCAGGAAGCAGGCAAAGGACAAACUUUGUGUUUCGACGCAAACCAUCUGAGAUUUCUUUGAGUGUGAUUUGCAAUUCAGGGAUCUUUAACACUUCUCUUUGCUUGUGUCUGUCCCUGAGCUGACAGGGUAAUUUCUUUUUCUGACUGAAGCUUGUGGAAUCUUGCUUAUACACCCCUCUGUGGAUGGGGCUUAGUGCCGAUUGCUGUAAUCCCAGGUGUGCAUCGUGUGUAUAAACCAUCACUGGCUUGAGCCUACCAAUGGUUGAGGGUAUCUUUGGUGACAAGAGCCAUCUCAAAACUAAAAAUGGUGUUAUAGGCAAGAGAAGAAGGGAUGCUCUUGCAGCUUAAGGCUUCAGCUGCUUUAGCAACUACUGCUGGGCUGCCAGUGCUGAACUUCCCUUCUUAGAGGGAAGCAUACAGUCAUCAGAUUUCUUCUGUAACACUGAGGGAGGAGGUGUAUGAACUGGGAACAUGUGUGUUGUUUGUGUGUCACCUCUGCUUUGUUCUUCACUCCUUUCAGGGGUUUGAAACAGAAGUUUUCCUAAAGAGAGAAAUUAAGCAGCGUGUUACUUCUCACAGGUCUUGCUCUUUCCAGUCUCUGUGCUUGACUAAUUUUUGUCCCUCCUUGUGCCCUCUGCUCUUCCCAUGCUUGGUGGCUGCUGACCAAGAGUGUAAGGGGCUCAGAUUAACUGCUUGAGAUCCUCAUUGCUCUGCCUGUUGAACUCUCUGUUUACUGCAGCCUUUUGACUCCAUAAGCUUGGAGAGGGACCUACCACCUCCACUUUGUGCAAGGGCCCAGGACCUGUCAUCUGAAGUCCGUGCUUGCUGUGAAGGCUCCCAGAUGCCUCAGGCCAGUGUGACACUGUUGCAAACAGGAGGGAAUAGUGGCAGGUGGUUGAAAGUCAGGUCCUUUUUCUACUGUGUGUGGUGUGUGUCAUUGUCGAGCCACAGACUUAGGGAUGAGAUACAGGCACUGCUGCUACUCCCGUUGCGUCAGUGAGAGCUGGGUUGUUGGGUUCAGUGACAGCAGGAAGGUGGCUCCAUAAGCAGGUGUUGGUAAUACCAGUGGUGUCCCUGGUGGAGUGGGUGGAAGGGACCUCCCCAUUGUUCUUGGUCUCCAUCAUGCAGAGCUCUCCAGGUCAAUGUAGUGACCAUGCAGGUCUCCUACACCCACCUCUGCUGAGGGUCUUGACCUUAAGGUGCACAAAGGCCAUUGCUCUCUCGCGCUGUUUGUGUUCGUGUUGAGCGACGCUGCUAAACCCGUCUGUAGCACAGGGGAAGAAGCCCCUCAGCUCCUCAGCCCACAGGCGGUGGGGGAGCUGCCGUGGGGGGGUGCAGGGGCCGUGUCCCCCGGUGAGGAGCACAGCUCCUUGGGCAGAGCCCGGGGCCCCUGCCCACCCCGGGACCUCCCCAUGUUCUCGGCUGCGGCACCGGGGCUGGAAGAUCUGCAAAAGGAUUCCACAGCCCUGGGCUGGAUGGGGACGUAACCAGUGCUCAGCCCAGCUUAGGCCCAAGCAGCCAGUUUACACCUACGCUGGUGCCUGCUACAAUUUUAAUUUUUUUUUUUCUUCAGGGUAUCCAGAUAAAAGUAAACAGAGGAGGAGCCUACAUUUUCAUUGUUUAUCAGAAAUGUAUCUCAUUUUGCUGUACAUUCCUUUUUUAGGACGUGUUAUCUGUUUAAAAAAAAAAAAAAGACAAAUUAAAAAAGAAAAAACAGAAAAAAAGAAAAAGAUAAAAACAAAUGUGUAGUGAAAAAUCUUCUGUAACUUUGGAUUAAGAGGUAACUGAUCUUUUUAAAGAGAGAACUAAGUUAUUUACUUUGUAAAUGUGCUGAUGGCAUGGAUCCAUCUGACUGACCUCAGCAUCUUUUUUUUUUUAAGAUUUUGGGUUUCGUUUCCAAUAUUAAGUUAUUUUAAAUUGUGGUUGAAGCAAUAGAAAAAUUGAAAUAUGGAUUGUGCAUGACUGUGUCUUGAGUGUAAAAAUAUUGCAGUUUGAAACUUGGACCUAAAGUAUUGCAAAUAAAAGUUAUAAAUACCAACGGA